UACGUAGGGUGCAAGCGUUGUCCGGAAUUAUUGGGCGUAAAGAGCUCGUAGGCGGUCUGUCGCGUCGGCUGUGAAAACCCGGAGCUCAACUCCGGGCCUGCAGUCGAUACGGGCAAACUGGAGUGUUGCAGGGGAGACUGGAAUUCCUGGUGUAGCGGUGAAAUGCGCAGAUAUCAGGAGGAACACCGGUAGCGAAGGCGGGUCUCUGGGCAACAACUGACGCUGAGGAGCGAAAGCAUGGGGAGCGAACAGG
rnacentral:rRNA from 1 species